ACGAGGAAGGGCGUAGUAAGCGAUGAAAUGCUUUGGGGAUUUGAAAAUAAGCGUGGAUCUGGAGAUUCCCGAAUAGGUCAACCUUUUGAACAGCUACUGAAUCCAUGGGCAAACAAGAGACAACCUGCCAAAUUGAAACAUCUCAGUAGCCGGAGGAAAAGAAAGCAAAAGCAAUUCCUGUAGUAGUGGCGAGCGAAAUGGGAGUAGCCUAACAAUUAGAUGAUUUAAAUUAAUCAUUUCUGGAGAAUUAGGCAGUCUUCCUGAACAGACCUUUUAUUUGUUAGGUAACGUCGAUGAAGCUACUACGAAGGCUACGAA
rfam:Gossypium hirsutum cultivar TM-1 chromosome 1, whole genome shotgun sequence